rnacentral:rRNA from 1 species
GAUGAACGCUGGCGGCGCGCCUAACACAUGCCAGUCGAACGAUUAAAGCACCUUCGGGUGUGUAUAAAGUGGCGAACGGCUGAGUAACACGUGGGCAACCUGCCCCUUUCAUUGGGAUAGCCACGGGAAACCGUGGAUAAUACCGAAUACUUCGAGACUUCCGCAUGGAAGACUCGAGAAAGCUCCGGCGGAGAGGGAUGGGCCCGCGGCCUGUUAGCUUGUUGGUGGGGUAACGGCCUACCAAGGCAAUGAUGGGUAGCUGGGUUGAGGGACCGACCAGCCAGAUUGGGACUGAGACACGGCCCAGACUCCUACGGGAGGCAGCAGUGGGGAAUCUUGCACAAUGGGCGAAAGCCUGAUGCAGCGACGCCGCGUGCGGGAUGAAGGCCUUUGGGUUGUAAACCGCUUUCAGCAGGGACGAGGCGAAAGUGACGGUACCUGCAGAAGAAGCCCCGGCUAACUACGUG